rnacentral:rRNA from 1 species
AUUGAACGCUGGCGGCAUGCUUUACACAUGCAAGUCGAGCGGUAACAGGCCUUCGGGUGCUGACGAGUGGCGAACGGGUGAGUAAUGCAUCGGAACGUACCCAGAGGUGGGGGAUAACGCAGCGAAAGCUGUGCUAAUACCGCAUGUGAUCUGAGGAUGAAAGCGGGGGACCGAGCAGCAAUGUUUGGCCUCGCGCCUUUGGAGCGGCCGAUGUCGGAUUAGCUAGUUGGUGGGGUAAAGGCCUACCAAGGCGACGAUCCGUAGCUGGUCUGAGAGGACGACCAGCCACACUGGGACUGGGACACGGCCCAGACUCCUACGGGAGGCAGCAGUGGGGAAUUUUGGACAGUGGGCGCAAGCCUGAUCCAGCAAUGCCGCGUGCGGGAAGAAGGCCUUCGGGUUGUAAACCGCUUUUGGCAGGAACGAAACGGUGUCCGCUAAUACCGGGCGCUAAUGACGGUACCUGCAGAAUAAGCACCGGCUAACUACGUG